AACGAACGCUGGCGGCAGGCUUAACACAUGCAAGUCGAGCGCCCCGCAAGGGGAGCGGCAGACGGGUGAGUAACGCGUGGGAAUCUACCCAUCUCUACGGAAUAACGCAUGGAAACGUGUGCUAAUACCGUAUACGUCCUUCGGGAGAAAGAUUUACCGGAGAUGGAUGAGCCCGCGUUGGAUUAGCUAGUUGGUGGGGUAAAGGCCUACCAAGGCGACGAUCCAUAGCUGGUCUGAGAGGAUGAUCAGCCACACUGGGACUGAGACACGGCCCAGACUCCUACGGGAGGCAGCAGUGGGGAAUAUUGGACAAUGGGCGCAAGCCUGAUCCAGCCAUGCCGCGUGAGUGAUGAAGGCCCUAGGGUUGUAAAGCUCUUUCACCGGUGAAGAUGAUGACGGUAACCGGAGAAGAAGCCCCGGCUAACUUCGCGCCAGCCGCCGCGGUAAUAC
rnacentral:rRNA from 1 species